rnacentral:rRNA from 1 species
AGUGAACGCUGGCGGUAGGCCUAACACAUGCAAGUCGAACGGCAGCACAGUAAGAGCUUGCUCUUACGGGUGGCGAGUGGCGGACGGGUGAGGAAUACAUCGGAAUCUACUUUUUCGUGGGGGAUAACGUAGGGAAACUUACGCUAAUACCGCAUACGACCUACGGGUGAAAGCAGGGGAUCUUCGGACCUUGCGCGAUUGAAUGAGCCGAUGUCGGAUUAGCUAGUUGGCGGGGUAAAGGCCCACCAAGGCGACGAUCCGUAGCUGGUCUGAGAGGAUGAUCAGCCACACUGGAACUGAGACACGGUCCAGACUCCUACGGGAGGCAGCAGUGGGGAAUAUUGGACAACGGGCGCAAGCCUGAUCCAGCCAUACCGCGUGGGUGAAGAAGGCCUUCGGGUUGUAAAGCCCUUUUGUUGGGAAAGAAAAGCAGCAGGUUAAUACCCCGCUGUUCUGACGGUACCCAAAGAAUAAGCACCGGCUAACUUCGUG